GAUGAAGAACGCAGUGAAAUGCGAUAAGUAAUGCGAAUUGCAGAAUUCAGUGAAUCAUCGAAUCUUUGAACGCACAUUGCGCCCCUUGGUAUUCCGAGGGGCAUGCCUGUUCGAGCGUCAUAUUAACCACUCCCGCUUGCGGGGUCUUGGGCUUCGCCUCCGGGCGGGCCUUAAAAUCAGUGGCGGUGCCGUCGGGCUCUACGCGUAGUAAAUUUUCUCGCGAUAGGGUCCCGGUGGAUGCUUGCCAACAACCCCCAACUUCUUAAGGUUGACCUCGGAUCAGGUAGGGAUACCCGCUGAACUUAAGCAUAUCAAUAAGCGGAGGA
rnacentral:misc_RNA from 1 species